GCUAGUUAAGGCCCAUGAUCAGUAAUAUUUUAUGGUUUAUAUUAUAGGAAGCUGAUUUCUCUUUGGUGAACUAUAGGAAGCUGAUUUCAGUUCUCAUUUUUACCAUAUUUCAUUUUUGUUUUUAUUUUUUAUUUUUCUUUUUUAAGUUGUUGGAUUUGAGAAUCACCAAGCGAGCAACUAAGCGAUUAUCUAAUUCUCCAAAGAAGAAUCUAAAGAGAGUUGCAGACGUUGAACAGCCACAAGCAGCUAAGCUGCAGCGUAUUUCAGAAACAGACCACCCCACCAAAUCGACGGAGAGCGUUCAAGGAGACUGAGGAGGCUUCCAAGGAAGCUGAGUCUGUUGCACUUAUGGCAGAGACAGAUGAGCAGAGUGCAAUCGAUACCGCUCAGCAGCUGCAAAAAAAUGGAAGUAGGAUCCGCAACGAUGGAGAUGUCGACCAUCCUAUAUAUUCUGAAUUGCCGGAAAUUACUGCUCUGCCCAGCUGGAAGAAAUAGAUUGCUGAUGCAUGGGAGAAGAGUUUAAGAAAAUAAAAACGUCUUUCGUUAUGUGCAACUUAUGUUGUUCUGUUUCUUAACAAUGUCUUAAUAAGGAUCGGCAGGAGCCUGAUCCCAAAGGUGUUUUUGCUUCCUUGUUAAUUGGUUUAUGCUUUUAGUUUGAAUUUCAGCAAGAUAAUCUUCUUCCCUCCUUUGAGUUGUACUAGUGCAAAGCCGCGUGAUGCUGCGGGUUGCUUUGCUUCCUGAAUUUAAUACAUAAUAAAUUACAUAUUGGAUAUGCAAUAUAACAGAAGCUCUUAUUAUUUUAUAGAUUGCUGAAUUUC